AAGACUGUCGCCGGCCAGGCCAGCCGCCUCGAGGGCGAGGUCCGCAUCAUUCAAGACGAUCUCUCCACCGCAAACAUCGUCUCUAUGGAGCAGGAGGAAAUGGUCCGCCGCCUCGAGGGCGAGCUCCGCAUCGCACAAGACGGCCUCUCCACUGCGCACAUCGCUGCUAUGGAGCAGGAGGAAAAGGUCCGCCGCCUCGUGGGUGAGCUCCGCAUCGCACAAGACGACCUCUCCACUGCGCACAGCGCCGCUGUGGAGCAGGAGGAAAAGGUCCGCCGCCUCGAAAGUGAGCUCCGCAUCACACAAGACGACCUCUCUACUGCAAACAUUGCCGCUACUGAGCAUGAGGAAAAUGUCCGCCGCCUCAAUAACUCCAUCAAGG
rnacentral:lncRNA from 1 species